UACGGAGGGUGCAAGCGUUAAUCGGAAUUACUGGGCGUAAAGCGUGCGCAGGCGGUUUGUUAAGUCUGUUGUGAGAUCCCCGAGCUCAACUUGGGAAUGGCGAUGGAUACUGGGCAGCUAGAGUGUGUCAGAGGAUGGUGGAAUUCCCGGUGUAGCGGUGAAAUGCGUAGAGAUCGGGAGGAACAUCAGUGGCGAAGGCGGCCAUCUGGGACAACACUGACGCUGAAGCACGAAAGCGUGGGGAGCAAACAGG
rnacentral:rRNA from 1 species